rnacentral:rRNA from 1 species
AUUGAACGCUGGCGGCAUGCCUUACACAUGCAAGUCGAACGGUAACAGGUUAAGCUGACGAGUGGCGAACGGGUGAGUAAUGUAUCGGAACGUGCCCAGUCGUGGGGGAUAACUGCUCGAAAGAGCAGCUAAUACCGCAUACGACCUGAGGGUGAAAGCGGGGGAUCGCAAGACCUCGCGCGAUUGGAGCGGCCGAUAUCAGAUUAGGUAGUUGGUGAGGUAAAGGCUCACCAAGCCGACGAUCUGUAGCUGGUCUCAGAGGACGACCAGCCACACUGGGACUGAGACACGGCCCAGACUCCUACGGGAGGCAGCAGUGGGGAAUUUUGGACAAUGGGCGCAAGCCUGAUCCAGCCAUGCCGCGUGCGGGAAGAAGGCCUUCGGGUUGUAAACCGCUUUUGUCAGGGAAGAAAAGGUUCUGGCUAAUACCUGGGACUCAUGACGGUACCUGAAGAAUAAGCACCGGCUAACUACGUG